GACGAACCGUGCGAACGUUGUUCGGAAUCACUGGGCUUAAAGGGCGCGUAGGCGGGCUCACAAGUCAGGGGUGAAAUCCCACGGCUCAACCGUGGAAGUGCCUUUGAUACUGUGGGGCUUGAGGGAGGUAGGGGCGUGCGGAACUUCCGGUGGAGCGGUGAAAUGCGUUGAUAUUCACAGGAACUCCGGUGGCGAAGGCGCGGUGCUGGACCUCAUCUGACGCUGAGGCGCGAAAGCCAGGGGAGCGAACGGG
rnacentral:rRNA from 1 species